GAGGAUGUAGCUCAAUGGAAGAGCACUGGCCUCGCAUGUUUGAGUCCUUGAGUUCAAUUCCCAGCACUCA
rnacentral:tRNA from 1 species